UUACUAUUUGGCGGCGAGCGGCGUACGGCUGAGUAACACGUAUGAACGUACCCCAAAGUGAGGGAUAAGCACCAUAAAUGGUGUCUAAUACCGCAUGUGCUCUAAGGAGUAAAGCUUCGGCGCUUUGGGAACGGCCUGCGUCCGAUUAGCUUGUUGGUGAGGUAAAAGCUCACCAAGGCGACGAUCGGUAGCUGGUCUGAGAGGAUGAUCAGCCAGACUGGGACUGAGACACGGCCCAGACUCCUACGGGAGGCAGCAGUAGGGAAUUUUCCACAAUGGGCGAAAGCCUGAUGGAGCAACGCCGCGUGCAGGAUGAAUGCCUUCGGGUUGUAAACUGCUUUUAUAUGUGACGAUUAUGACGGUAGCAUAUGAAUAAGGAUCGGCUAACUCCGUGCCAGCAGCCGCGGUCAUACGGAGGAUCCAAGCGUUAUCCGGAAUUACUGGGCGUAAAGAGUUGCGUAGGUGGCAUAGUAAGUAUAUAGUGAAAGCGUUCGGCUCAACCGAAUA
rnacentral:rRNA from 1 species